AACGCACAUUGCGCCCCCCGGCCCCCGGGGGGCACGCCUGUCCGAGCGCCAUUGCAGACAUCGAGCCGCGGGCUCGCCGUUGGGCCUCGUCCCCCGCGAGUGGGGGGCCGGCCCGGAAAACAUCGGCGCCCCGCCGGGCCCCGAGCGCAACGAGCCGAAGGCCCGCGCCCGGGGACCCACGCGGCGGCCGCCCGCCAUCGCACCGCGCGGGAGACCGCGGAAAAGGGAUGGCCUCGGAUCAGGCGGGGUUACCCGCUGAACUUAA
rnacentral:misc_RNA from 1 species